UCUUCGAUGGUCUAGUGGUCAUGAUUUCCGCUUGUCAUUGCAAGAUUACAAGCGCGGGAGACCGGGGUAAGUCCUUCCGCAAGACUACCCGCAGCAAUUACUAAACUGCCUCAGGUUCGAUUCCCCGUCGGAGAG
rnacentral:tRNA from 1 species